CUAUACCGUGUUGCUUCGGCGGGCCCACUGGGGCCUGUUCCCGGUCGCCUGGGGGGGUGAAACCCCCCGGGUCCGUGCCCGCCGGAGACCCCUUGAACCCUGAGUGAAUCGAGUGUCGUCUGAGUUUGAAUUAAAUCAUUAAAACUUUCAACAACGGAUCUCUUGGUUCCGGCAUCGAUGAAGAACGCAGCGAAAUGCGAUAAGUAAUGUGAAUUGCAAAAUUCCGUGAAUCAUCGAAUCUUUGAACGCACAUUGCGCCCCCUGGCAUUCCGGGGGGCAUGCCUGUCCGAACGUCAUUGCUACCCUCAAGCGCGGCUUGUGUGUUGGGCGCUGUCCCCCCGGGGACAGGCCUGAAAGGCAGUGGCGGCGUCGCGUCCGGUCCUCGAGCGUAUGGGGCUUUGUCACUCGCUCUGUGGGGUCCGGCCGGGGCCUGUCUACCCAAUCUUUUCUCAAGGUUGACCUCGGAUCAUGUAGGGAUACCCGCUGAACUUAAGCAUAUCAAUAAGCGGACGAAAGGGCGAAUUC
rnacentral:misc_RNA from 1 species